GACGAACGCUGGCGGCGUGCUUAACACAUGCAAGUCGAGCGGAAAGGCCCUUUCGGGGGUACUCGAGCGGCGAACGGGUGAGUAACACGUGAGUAAUCUGCCCUGUGCUUUGGGAUAGCCACCGGAAACGGUGAUUAAUACCGGAUACGACCAACCUACGCAUGCGGUGUUGGAGGAAAGUUUUUCGGGGCAGGAUGUGCGCGCGGCCUAUCAGCUUGUUGGUGGGGUAAUGGCCUACCACGGCUUCGACGGGUAGCCGGCCUGAGAGGGUGACCGGCCACACUGGGACUGAGACACGGCCCAGACUCCUACGGGAGGCAGCAGUGGGGAAUAUUGGACAAUGGGCGGAAGCCUGAUCCAGCAACGCCGCGUGAGGGAUGACGGCCUUCGGGUUGUAAACCUCUUUCAGCACCGACGAAGCGAGAGUGACGGUAGGUGCAGAAGAAGGACCGGCCAACUACGUGCCAGCAGCCGCCGUAAGAC
rnacentral:rRNA from 1 species